UCCCUACGGGUGGCAGCAGUGGGGAAUAUUGGACAAUGGGCGCAAGCCUGAUCCAGCCAUGCCGCGUGAGUGAUGAAGGCCUUAGGGUUGUAAAGCUCUUUCGGCGGGGACGAUAAUGACGGUACCCGCAGAAGAAGCCCCGGCAAACUUCGUGCCAGCAGCCGCGGUAAUACGAAGGGGGCUAGCGUUGUUCGGAAUCACUGGGCGUAAAGCGUAUGUAGGCGGAUCGUUAAGUCGGGGGUGAAAGCCCGAGGCUCAACCUCGGAACUGCCUUCGAUACUGGCGAUCUUGAGUCCGGGAGAGGUGAGUGGAACUGCGAGUGUAGAGGUGAAAUUCGUAGAUAUUCGCAAGAACACCAGUGGCGAAGGCGGCUCACUGGCCCGGUACUGACGCUGAGAUACGAAAGCGUGGGGAGCAAACAGGAUUAGAUACCCUGGUAGUCA
rnacentral:rRNA from 2 species